rnacentral:rRNA from 1 species
UACGUAGGGGGCAAGCGUUGUCCGGAAUCAUUGGGCGUAAAGAGCGUGUAGGCGGCCCGAUAAGUCCGCUGUGAAAGUCCAGGGCUCAACCCUGGAAUGCCGAUGGAUACUGUCGGGCUCGAAUCCGGAAGAGGUGAGUGGAAUUCCUGGUGUAGCGGUGAAAUGCGCAGAUAUCAGGAGGAACACCAAUGGCGAAGGCAGCUCACUGGGACGGUAUUGACGCUGAGACGCGAAAGCGUGGGGAGCAAACAGG